CUUUUUUUUUUUUUUUUUUGAGACGGAGUCUCGCUCCAUCGCCCAGGCUGGAGUGCAGUGGCGCAAUCUCAGCUCACUGCAAGCUCCGCCUCUUGGGUUCAAGCCAUUCUCCUGCCUCAGCCUCCCGAGUAGCUGGGACUACAGGCGCCCGCCAUCACGCCCGGCUAAUUUUUUGUAUUUUUAGUAGAGACGGGGUUUCACCGUGUUACCCAGGAUGGUCUCGAUCUCCUGACCUCGUGAUCCACCCGCCUAGGCCUCCCUAAGAGCUGGAUUACAGGCAUAAGCCACUGCGCCCAGCCAAAAUAAAUCUUUUUAGCCUGGCCAAGAGCUCUUCCCAACAAUUACCUGUCCAAUGCCUCACGACACAAGUCAUGGAGCAAGACAGGUUCUGCAGGGACUGGGAUGCUGAGGACCCUGGGAGCAGGGGUAGGGGCUGCAGUGAAGUAAGUCACAGGAGGGAAGGGACACAAGUCAAAAGUAACAAUAACUAGAAUUACAGCUUAGAAAACACAAAUGCAGCUCUAAGACUUGCCGAGAUUCUACGCAGCGGCACCCCCCACGUUCCGCCCACUCUCAACAGCCGUCAAAGCGCAGCUCGGACUGCAGGGCGGUUUGGCGUCCAGGGUCACUCUCUGGCUCCUCUCUCGAACGCCGCCUCCGACACCCGCCCAGCACGACCCAGCCUGGGGUGUCUCUCUGCAAGGGAGAGGUCAAGUGGGGGACCCUCGGUCUCAUGUAAAUGCAACUUGGGGCGAUGCAGGAUAGUGUCCAGCAUUCAGGAAAGGGGGCCUUGGUGGAAAGAGCGGCCAGCCAGGAAAAUCAAGUCUCUAGGCCUUUUCAGAGCCAAAAUGCAGCCAAGCGGGAAGGCGGACAGGCGCCCAGAACCCCUGGGGCAAGGAGCUGCCCCUUCCCUCCUCCUGGGGAAAGCAGUAGCCAACCGCUCCCGUGCCUCCUAGCCCAAGGAGUUCGCCCGGGCCACCCCUAAGCCCAACAGCAGCCCCCAGGGCUCCUCACAGGUCAUAAGCCCCUCUGAGCCGCGACAGUCCUCGCAUCCAGGUCGGGGCAGGGAGCGGGGGCGACUGUCCCCAACACGGCGGCCAGAAAGCCCAAAAUACGGAGCCUGCCCAAGAUGGCGGUCACGACUAUCCCGCGACAACGCGGCCCCGGGCUCGCUGUGCCCGAGCCUGGAGCCUGCCGAACCGCACUAACACGGGGACCUCGCCUCUGCCACUCCCGAGAGGGCGCCACCGCCUCCGACGGCCAUCCCUGGGGUGCAGAUGGCGUCCGCACGCCCGUCGGCACCGCCCGCUUCCAGAUCACUUAAAAUGGCGGCGGCUGCGGGGU
rnacentral:lncRNA from 1 species